GGGGGUGACAUGGCUUCGACAGGGGAAGCUGAGUAUGUGUGGCAAGCCGCGGCGCCCGAAGCCGCGUCAACAACGGGCAAGGCAUAUAAAUGCCAACGAAAACAACUACGCACUCCCCGUUGCCGCCUAAGGUAAUGUGGUAGUGUUGCUAGCCUUGCGAGGCUAGCCGUCCGCCCCAAUCGUCGCCAUCCGGUUGGAUUGGCGGGCGUCACUAAAGAUGGCGUGCGGUCGCGUUGACGCCGAUACUGCGCACCAAAGACGACAUCGGCUAGUCAUCCGUGUACCGGGUUCACUGGGGCUACGGGCGGCGAAUGCUAACAGUGAACUAAGCUUGUAGAAGCAUAUAUUCGAAUCUCUUGGACAGCGGUUCGAUUCCGCUCACCUCCACUG
rnacentral:tmRNA from 1 species